rnacentral:rRNA from 1 species
UACGUAGGGUGCAAGCGUUGUCCGGAAUUAUUGGGCGUAAAGAGCUCGUAGGCGGUCUGUCGCGUCUGCUGUGAAAACUCAGGGCUUAACCCUGAGCUUGCAGUGGGUACGGGCAGACUAGAGUGCGGUAGGGGAGACUGGAAUUUACGGUGUAGCAGUGAAAUGCGUAGAGAUCGUAAGGAAGACCAGUGGCGAAGGCGGGUCUCUGGAAAGUUCCUGACACUGAGGCACGAAGGCCAGGGGAGCAAACGGG